GCCUAACACAUGCAAGUCGAACGGUAACAGGAAGCAGCUUGCUGCUUUGCUGACGAGUGGCGGACGGGUGAGUAAUGUCUGGGAAACUGCCUGAUGGAGGGGGAUAACUACUGGAAACGGUAGCUAAUACCGCAUAACGUCGCAAGACCAAAGAGGGGGACCUUCGGGCCUCUUGCCAUCGGAUGUGCCCAGAUGGGAUUAGCUAGUAAGUGGGGUAACGGCUCACCUAAGCGACGAUCCCUAGCUGGUCUGAGAGGAUGACCAGCCACACUGGAACUGAGACACGGUCCAGACUCCUACGGGAGGCAGCAGUGGGGAAUAUUGCACAAUGGGCGCAAGCCUGAUGCAGCCAUGCCGCGUGUAUGAAGAAAGCCUUCGGGUUGUAAAGUACUUUCAGCGGGGAGGAAAGGAGUAAAGUUAAUACCUUUGCUCAUUGACGUUACCCGCAGAAGAAGCACCGGCUAACUCCGUGCCAGCAGCCGCGGUAAUACGGAGGGUGCAAGCGUUAAUCGGAAUUACUGGGCGUAAAGCGCACGCAAGCGGUUUGUUAAGUCAGAUGUGAAAUCCCCGGGCUCAACCU
rnacentral:rRNA from 1 species